rnacentral:rRNA from 1 species
GGCGAACGGGUGAGUAACGCGUGAGCAAUCUACCUUAGUUACAGGGAUAGCCCGAGGAAACUCGGAUUAAUACCUGAUAUUCUUUAUUUCUCGCAUGAGAAUAAAAGGAAAGGUCAGCCGAACUAAGAUGAGCUCGCGUUCUAUCAGCUAGUUGGUGAGGUAAAAGCUUACCAAGGCUACGACGGAUAGCUGGUCUGAGAGGACGAUCAGCCACACUGGGACUGAGACACGGCCCAGACUCCUACGGGAGGCUGCAGCAGGGAAUAUUGUGCAAUGAACGAAAGUUUGACACAGCGACACCGCGUGUGGGAUGACGGAUCUAGGUUUGUAAACCACUUUCAGGAGGGAAGAAAAUGACGGUACCUCCACAAGAAGCCCCGGCCAACUACGUGCCAGCAGCCGCGGUAAUACGUAGGGGGCGAGCGUUGUCCGGAUUUAUUGGGCGUAAAGAGCUCGUAGGCGGUUCAACAAGUCGGUCGUGAAAGUUCAGGGCUCAACCCUGAAAUGUCGAUCGAUACUGUUGUGACUAGGAUACGGUAGAGGUGAGUGGAAUUCCGAGUGUAGCGGUGAAAUGCGUAGAUAUUCGGAGGAACACCAAUUGCGAAGGCAGCUCACUGGACCGCUAUCGACGCUGAGGAGCGAAAGCUAGGGGAGCAAACAGGAUUAGAUACCCUGGUAGUCCUAGCUGUAAACGAUGGAUACUAGACGUAGGAACUGGAUUGACGGUUUCUGUGUCGUAGCUAACGCGUUAAGUAUCCC